rnacentral:rRNA from 1 species
AUGGAGCUCCUCAGACCAUUCGCGGCCCUGUGCGUCCUGCUUGGCUUCGUCCUCGUCGCCGUGGCGGUGGUGGCCACGGAGGUGGAGAGCGAGACGUGGGAGGCCCAGUCCUGCUACAUCGUGCACGUCGCGGCCGCGCACGCGCCACGGCUGCCGCGCCGCGGCAUGCUGGCCACGCGGGCGUAUGGUGCGUUCUUGCGCAAUCAACUCCCCGUCGAGUUGUCCAGCCCGGCGCCGAGGGUGCUCUACUCCUACGCGCACGCCGCCACGGGCUUCGCGGCGCAGCUCACGGGCCGCCAGGCCGCGCAGCUCGCGUCCUCGGGCUCCGUGCUCGCCGUCGUGCCCGACGUGAUGCAGCAGCUGCACACCACCCUGACGCCAUCCUUCCUCGGCCUCUCGCCGUCCUCCGGCCUGCUCAAGGCGUCCAACGGCGCCACGGACGUCGUCAUCGGGGUGAUCGACACCGGCGUCUACCCGGAAGGCCGCAAAUCCUUCGCCGCCGACCCGUCGCUGCCGCCGACACCCAGCAAGUUCCGCGGUGGGUGCGUCUCGGGUCCGUCGUUCAACGCCUCCGCGCUCUGCAACAACAAACUCGUCGGCGCCAAGUUCUUCCACAAGGGGCUGGAGGCUGCACGCGGCCGCGCCCUAGGUGAGGACUCGUUGUCGCCGCUCGACACCAACGGCCAUGGCACCCACACCUCCUCCACCGCCGGCGGCUCACCUGCCGCGGAUGCCGGCUUCUUCGACUACGCCGGAGGAAAAGCCGUCGGCAUGGCCCCGGGCGCGCGCAUUGCCGUCUACAAAGCGUGCUGGGACGAAGGGUGCGCGAGCUCUGACAUCCUCGCCGCAUUUGACGAGGCCAUCACAGACCGUGUCGACGUUAUCUCUGUCUCGCUUGGCGACACCGGCUUGGCCGACAACUUUUACAGCGACACAACCGCGGUGGGGGCGUUCCGCGCCGUCAGCAAGGGCAUCGUCGUCUCCGCCUCAGCGGGAAACUCUGGCCCCGGGGACUCCACCGCCGUGAACAUCGCGCCGUGGUUCUUGACGGUGGGCGCGUCCACACUCAACCGCCGAUUCCCGGGCGACGUCGUUCUCGGCAACGGAGAGACCUUCACGGGCACUACUCUUUACGCCGGCGAGCCGCUCGGCGCGACCAAGUUACCAGUGGUCUAUGGAGGGGACGUGGGCUCCAAAGUGUGCGAAGAGGGGAAGCUGAAACCAGCCAAGGUAGCCGGGAAGAUUGUUUUCUGCGAACUGGGUGUAACGGCUCAAGCAGCGAAAGGACAAGCCGUCAAGCUCGCCGGUGGCGCCGGAGCAAUCCUCACCGGCGCCAAAGAAGACGGCGAGCAGGUCAUCACCAGCCCCCAUGUCCACCCCGCCACGGACGUCCCAUUUGCUGCCGCCGAGAAGAUUAAAAAGUACAUACGCACGCAAACUUCCCCUACGGCGACGAUCAUCUUCCGCGGCACCGUGGUCGGCUCGACGCCUCCUUCCCCUAGAAUGGCGUCUUUCUCGAGCCGCGGGCCGAACUUCCGCGCGCCGGAGAUCCUCAAGCCGGACGUGACCGCGCCUGGCGUGGACAUCCUCGCCGCUUGGACGGGCGCCAACUCGCCCUCCGAGCUCGACUUUGACACGAGGCGAGUGAACUACAACAUCAUAUCGGGCACGUCCAUGUCAUGCCCGCAUGUGAGCGGCAUCGUCGCGCUGCUCCGGCAGGCGAGGCCGGAGUGGAGCCCCGCCGCUAUCAAGUCCGCCCUGAUGACCACCGCGCGCAACAUGGACAACGCCGGCGGCGUGAUCGGAGACAUGUCCACCGGCGAGGCGUCCACGCCGUUCGCGCGCGGGGCCGGACACAUCAGCCCCAACAGCGCGGUCGACCCGGGCCUUGUGUACGACGCCGGCACGGAGGACUACAUCACCUUCCUGUGCGCACUCGGCUACACUGCCAAGCAGGUCGCCGUGUUCGGCUCGUCCACCAGCUGCUCGACGCGCGCGGGCUCCUCCGUGGGUGACCACAACUACCCAGCCUUCUCCGUGGUGAUCACCUCGAACAAAAAAAAGGCGGUCGUCACACAGCGCCGCGUUGUGCGCAACGUCGGCAGCGACGCCACGACGACGUACCGGGCCAAGAUCACCGCCCCGGACGGCGUGCUCGUGACGGUGAGCCCCGAGACAUUGCGGUUCAGUGCGACGCAGAAGACACAGGGGUAUGCGGUCACCUUCGCGCGGGAAAUCGGCGCGAGCGUCACGGAGAAGUACACGUUUGGGUCGAUCGAGUGGAGCGACGGCGAGCACACGGUGACGAGCCCCAUCGCCAUCACUUGGCCGACGAGCCAGGUCGCGGAGAUGUGA